GGACCCAAAUCAAAAGAAGCUUAAACCUGGGAAAUAGAAAAACAGAAGGGGCCAGAAAUCUUUUUGUUCCAACGAACCAGCAGAUAAGUAAAUGAAGAAGAUGUAGAGUGGGAUUUGGUUUGGUAUUAAGAGUAAUUUGUACUCCUUGAGGUUCCCAUGGGUGGAAAUACUUAUUUGGGGAAGGGCAGUUUUUCUCCUGGUGUGACAACUGGGAGGACUGGAGGCACAAAACAAUGGCUGAAGACCUGCACGUCAUCUACAGAGCAUAGGAAUCCCAUUCUUGAUCUCCAAAAUAGCCAUGAUCCAUGGUGAUGUCCAACCUCUAUUAGGAGAAGAACAGAAACACAAAGAAAUUCUACAGUACAAGUGCGGAGAGGCAGAUGAAGCGUUGCAAUACAGAUGUCUGCUAGAAGGCUAGGAGAAUAUGCUGAGUCGAAUGUUUCAUCUAUAAUAUUGUUUUCCGUGCCAGAGCUUGCCUCUGGUAGGUGAAGCGUGGGAUUUCCUGACUUAUGUUUUACAAACGGGAUGGUGCACAAUGGAAGAAUUUAUUUGAAAAUGACAGAAGAGCAGAAUGUUGAGGUCUAAGCAUCUGAAGCUGUUCCUGAAACUGAACAUUGUCCAACCUCCUCCCCCCCCCCACAGCUUAGACAAAAAAAAAAAUUGCCAUGGUACAGCUAGGUAAUUUUAGCCUCUGAAUGCUCUUACCUGGGACCGGUCUUGAUCUGGUAACGUGUCUUGCUGCACUUCCUUCAAAUGUUGUGACCUGCUGCCUUGGGGGCAUCUUCUGCUCGUUCUACUCAGCUGUGCCUUGGAUGACAGCCCCAAAGUUCUGCUCUGAAAACUCUCCUGAAAAUGUGGCCAGUAAAGUGUGAUAGUGCAUGUGCCACUUUACACUGUAUCUGCUUAGUAUGCACUGCUAAAUGUCUAAAUAAACAAUGAAGCAAUCUAGUUAUUUAUUUAUUUUUAACCAA